rnacentral:rRNA from 1 species
AUUGAACGCUGGCGGCAGGCCUAACACAUGCAAGUCGAACGGCUGAACAGAGCUUGCUUCUGGUUUCAGCGGCGGACGGGUGAACAAUGCCUAGGAAUCUGCCUGGCAGUCUGGGAUAACGUCCGGAAAUGGGCGCUAAUACGGCAUACGUGCUGAGGGAGAAAGUGGGGGAUCUUCGGACCUCACGCUAUCACGUGAUUCUAUGUCGGAUUAGCUAGUUGGUGGGGUAAAGGCCUACCAAGGCGACGAUCCGUAACUGGUCUGAGAGGAUGAUCAGUCACACUGGAACUGAGACACGGUCCAGACUCCUACGGGAGGCAGCAGUGGGGAAUAUUGGACAAUGGGCGGAAGCCUGAUCCAGCCAUGCCGCGUGUGUGAAGAAGGUCUUCGGGUUGUAAAGCACUUUAAGUUGGAAGGAAGGGCAGUAAGUUAAUACCUUGCUGUUUUGACGUUACCAAAAGAAUAAGCACCGGCUAACUUCGUG